UUGCUUCCCUAGCCCUCAGCAGCCUAACUCUACCCUGUCCUCCUUGUUACUCACGGACAGCAGCACCCACGGUUCCCUUUCCUCUUUCUCCAUGAAAGGAAAGGAACAGAAACAGAAAAUCAGAGGUAAAUGGAGACUGAGUCACGGAAUAAGGGAGGAGGAGAGGAGGACCUGCGUCGGCGUGCUGGUCUCACUACCGCCUUUGUCUGACCAAGGAGAGGGAAGAGUUACUCGCGCCAUCACCUGCUGCUGCUACCCAAUCCGCGCCGCCAUGGUCGUCCCGUCCACGGAGCCAUGAAUCGCAACUCUGUCACCGAGAGGAGGGAGGAGACGCGAUGCUGGAGGAGCCGCCCAGUGACUGUUGCAUCGCGCAACCACUACGGCCCAUGUUUUCUUCGUCGUUGCCAGGGGAAUACCGCGCCACCACGCCUCGCCAUCGAACCACCCCACUGCUACCACUGUCACGGAGAAGAGGCGUUGAAGAGGGGCAGAACUCGGGUCUCGUCGCUGCCGACCAUGGGGCCUCGAGCCGCGUCGCUGUCACUGGCAAGAGGGGGAAAACGCGAGCUGGAAGGGCAUGAUGAGUCCUUCUGCCUCCGUUGUUUUGGUCCGCUGAGGAAGGGAAGAUGCUGCCUUGGGGCUUCACGGUCGCCGAGCAGGCUGGGUCACCGUGAUUUGGGCCGCUGAGACUUCCGGGAUUGCCGAUGGAGCUUUGGGCUGAGCUUCUCCCACUUGAGACCCUGCUGCCGCCGCCGGAAAAGUGUGUCGUUGAUCCACCGGAGCUUCUGGCUGCCGCCGGAGUUGUGUUGGGGCCGGUUCGAAAUCGCAGUUGCCUCAUUGUGUUAUUCUGAUAAGAAAUUAUGUUUCGAAUGAUCUCGUGUUAGUAUUCUGUUGUGUUCGGUUAAAGAAUAUGAGUUUUGAUAACAUGGCGUCGAGUCCUGAUUAUUAUAUGUUGCGAUUAGUGUUGCUAUGGUUAUUGCGAAUAUGGCUUGAAGCUGAGGUUGUGGUUGUUUUUGAUUUCGGGUUGAGGUGGAAAGGACUCUGUGACGCGUUUGGGUUAUGGAAUUGCGUUUUGAGGAUAUGGGCGCAGAAGUUACGAAGAAUUUACCUAGUUAUUGUUGUGAUGCUCUGUAUGGCCUUAGUUAUUAUUUAUUGUACCCUCGCCUUUAUCUUGAUAUAUUCUAUAAGAGGGAUAAGAAUUGUACUGGAUAAUGUUUGUAAUAUUAUUUAUAUAUAUGUAUGUAUAUAUAUAUGGAUGUACUCUUUAUGAGUUUCUGUAAGUUGUAUGGUAUGUAUAGACGUACGUUGUAUGGCUAAAGUAAUUUUUGG